UUCAAAGCGUUAAUAAAAAAA
ensembl:piRNA 21ur-7893 ncRNA